AGCCAGACUCCUACGGGAGGCAGCAGUGGGGAAUAUUGCACAAUGGGGGAAACCCUGAUGCAGCGACGCCGCGUGAGCGAUGAAGUAUUUCGGUAUGUAAAGCUCUAUCAGCAGGGAAGAAGAUGACGGUACCUGACUAAGAAGCCCCGGCUAACUACGUGCCAGCAGCCGCGGUAAUACGUAGGGGGCAAGCGUUAUCCGGAUUUACUGGGUGUAAAGGGGGCGCAGACGGCGAUGCAAGCCAGGAGUGAAAGCCCGGGGCCCAACCCCGGGACUGCUCUUGGAACUGCGUGGCUAGAGUGCAGGAGGGGCAGGCGGAAUUCCUGGUGUAGCGGUGAAAUGCGUAGAUAUUAGGAGGAACACCAGUGGCGAAGGCGGCCUGCUGGACGAUGACUGACGUUGAGGCUCGAAAGCGUGGGGAGCAAACAGGAUUAGAUACCCUCGUA
rnacentral:rRNA from 1 species